rnacentral:piRNA from 1 species
UAGGAGCACAGCACUGACGGCUGCAGUGGC